UAGGGAAUCUUCGGCAAUGGGGGCAACCCUGACCGAGCAACGCCGCGGGAGUGAAGAAGGUUUUCGGAUCGUAAAGCUCUGUUGUAAGUCAAGAACGGGUGUGAGAGUGGAAAGUUCACACUGUGACGGUAGCUUACCAGAAAGGGACGGCUAACUACGUGCCAGCAGCCGCGGUAAUACGUAGGUCCCGAGCGUUGUCCGGAUUUAUUGGGCGUAAAGCGAGCGCAGGCGGUUUGAUAAGUCUGAAGUUAAAGGCUGUGGCUCAACCAUAGUUCGCUUUGGAAACUGUCAAACUUGAGUGCAGAAGGGGAGAGUGGAAUUCCAUGUGUAGCGGUGAAAUGCGUAGAUAUAUGGAGGAACACCGGUGGCGAAAGCGGCUCUCUGGUCUGUAACUGACGCUGAGGCUCGAAAGCGUGGGGAGCGAACAGG
rnacentral:rRNA from 1 species